rnacentral:rRNA from 1 species
AUUGAACGCUGGCGGCAGGCCUAACACAUGCAAGUCGAGCGGAUGAAGAGAGCUUGCUCUCUGAUUUAGCGGCGGACGGGUGAGUAAUGCCUAGGAAUCUGCCUGGUAGUGGGGGAUAACGUUCCGAAAGGAACGCUAAUACCGCAUACGUCCUACGGGAGAAAGCAGGGGACCUUCGGGCCUUGCGCUAUCAGAUGAGCCUAGGUGGGAUUAGCGAGUUGGUGAGGUAAUGGCCCACAAAGGCUACGAUCCGUAACUGGUCUGAGAGGAUGAUCAGUCACACUGGAACUGGGACACGGUCCAGACUCCUACGGGAGGCAGCAGUGGGGAAUAUUGGACAAUGGGCGAAAGCCUGAUCCAGCCAUGCCGCGUGUGUGAAGAAGGUCUUCGGAUUGUAAAGCACUUUAAGUUGGGAGGAAGGGCAGUAAGUUAAUACCUUGCUGUUUUGACGUUACCGACAGAAUAAGCACCGGCUAACUUCGUGCCAGCAGCCGCCGCAGUAA